rnacentral:rRNA from 1 species
CCAGACUCCUACGGGAGGCAGCAGUGGGGAAUAUUGCACAAUGGGGGAAACCCUGAUGCAGCGACGCCGCGUGGGCGACGAAGCGCUCCGGCGCGUAAAGCCCUGUCAGCAGGGAAGAACAAAGACAGUACCUGACCAAGAAGCCCCGGCUAACUACGUGCCAGCAGCCGCGGUAAUACGUAGGGGGCAAGCGUUAUCCGGAUUCACUGGGCGUAAAGGGAGCGCAGGCGGCACGGCAAGUCUGGUGUGAAAGCCCGGGGCCCAACCCCGGGACUGCAUUGGAAACUGCCGGGCUGGAGUGCCGGAGGGGUAAGCGGAAUUCCUGGUGUAGCGGUGAAAUGCGCAGAUAUCAGGAAGAACACCGGUGGCGUAGGCGGCUUACUGGACGGCAACUGACGCUGAGGCUCGAAAGCGUGGGGAGCAAACAGGAUUAGAUACCCGAGUA